AACUAUAUGAUAUUAUAUAUAGCUACUUCUGCUCAAUGGUGCGCUAAAUAGCCGCAGUACUCUGACUGUGCAAAGGUAGCAUAAUCAGUUGGCCUAUAAUUGAGGUCUGGUAUGAACGAAUAAUUGGGUAGUAACUGUCUUAAUGUAUUCUUACAAAUUUAGUAAGCAAGUGAAAAUACUUGCUAAAUUAUAAAAGACGAGAAGACCCUAGAAACUUGCAAGUGUUUUUGUUGGGGCGACAGGAUUACAAUUAACUAAUCUUAUUUUACGAGACGAUAAACAGAAAGAAUAAGUUACUCUAGGGAUAACAGCAUAAUUUUAAUAGUUUGUGACCUCGAUGUUGGACUAGGUAUAAAACUCCUUAGAAGGGAUUUAAUAUGCUCUGUUCGAGCAGUAUAACCUACAUG
rnacentral:rRNA from 1 species